AUAAGAUUGUAUAGUUAUAUGUAUAUCAUGUAUUAUGUUUUUAUGCAGUCUCCCUGAAUCACUUGUACCAGGCUAUGGAAAUUCAUGUUUCCAAUUUUGUAUUUAUUUUUCUUAUGAUACAGUAUACUGUAAAUUUGAAUAAUAUUUGUGUGCUUAUAGUGAGCUUAUUUUUAGGAGAGUUUGUUGCGAGGCAGCAUAUAUUUUGAUAUUUCAAAAUAUUACUGUAUAUUGGUAUGUUAUACUUAAUGCUUUUGGAAGGGUUAUAGGGGUCGGGUGUGAUAUACUUUUUCAGGUAUUUUGUGUCUGAUGUAUGUAAGAGCUUUAUUAUUGGGUUUCUUGGUGAGACCUUAUAUCUUAUGUGUCCUAUAACCCUCUGUAAUUGCGGAUUAUUGCAUACAUUCUAAUUGUAUUUUUUUGUAGGAGUCCAAAGAUGCAAAUGAUACAAUUUCAAACUUAUCACAACCCAUAUUGUGGCCGCUGGCAGCGAACUAGAAUACGACUAGAAACUGUCAAUCAUACGUUAUCGAGGGAAAGGAUGAAAGUUCCAUAACAAGCAACAGUUGUUUUGAUGCAAUUAUCGCCUUAUUGGCAAGUUUUUACAUCUUCAAUAUUGAGUACUGCCACACGAAGAGCAUCUUGUCUGCCUUGCAGACUAUAGUAGUGCAUGGGCAACACAGAAAAUGGCAUACAACUGCCAAUAGUGAGUUUAAGCAAGUGACGUUUUUGACAACACGGACGUCGACCGGAGGUAAAGUUGACGUUUUUCACCAAUCACAGUCCUUGACCCAGUCUUCUGACGUUGCUCAUGCCGUCAGUGUUGUCAAAAACGUCACUUGCUUAAGCUCACUAAUGAGGGUCACAGCCCUCUUCAAUGACUUGUCAUGACUCAUGAAUAUUAGUACUACAGUAAUUUUACACUUUUUGAGAGUUACGUUGACAUAUGCUAACCCAAGUUAAUGUUAUUGAUGGAAUGUGUGUAUUGUCUCACAUCUCACCGAACUGUGGUAAUGUAUUAGAAAUUAUUCGUAUUGCGUUCACGUUAACAACCGCGCCUGCUAUUGCUAUCACAAGUUGAUUGCUCUUUAAAAUUAGAAUUGUAAACUUUCAGAGCCAUAUGGCAUAUAUGUACGAAUCUUUUGAUGGUUCCCACAUUUCGGUGAGAUACAUAAUACUGACUACUGUGCAUGUAUAUUGUAAUUUUAGUUAUAGUAUUGUGCUUAUAAUACAGAAAUUGGAAC